rnacentral:rRNA from 1 species
UCAGGAUGAACGCUAGCGGCAGGCGUUAACACAUGCAAGGUCGAGGGGCAGCGGGUGUAGCAAUACAUGCCGGCGACCGGCGAAAGGGUGAGUAACGCGUGAGCAACGUGCCCGUGGUUGGGGAUAGUCAUUGGAAACGAUGCGUAAUACCCCGUAACACAUGGAACCGCAUGGUUUUAUGUUGAGAGAUUUAUUGUCCACGGAUCGGCUCGCGUACCAUUAGCUAGAUGGCGGGGUAACGGCCCACCAUGGCGACGAUGGUUAGGGGUUCUGAGAGGAAGGUCCCCCACAUUGGAACUGAGACACGGUCCAGACUCCUACGGGAGGCAGCAGUGAGGAAUAUUGGACAAUGGCCCGGGAGGCUGAUCCAGCCAUGCCGCGUGCGGGAAAGACGGCCCUAUGGGUUGUAAACCGCUUUUGUUGGGGAGCAAUAAUCGCUACGUGUAGCGAGAUGAGAGUACCUGGCGAAUAAGCAUCGGCUAACUCCGUGCCAGCCGCGGC